CUGCCUUCUGGAGAGUAAAAAUGCUGUUAAUUUUCAGAAGCUCCUUUGCUAAUAGAUUUUAAAUUCUAAGUUUUUAGUUGUUUUCAUUGACUUUUUUAAUUUUUAAAUUUUUUUUUAAAUGUUCCCUUUUCAUUGGUGUUGAUCAUUGAAUUUUUUAGGCAUGUAAUUUUCUAAUUUGCUAAAAAUGUUAUUUUUGUUUUUUUCUAUAAUGUGUCAUCAUAUUGCAUUGGCUAGGCUAGAUUUCCAAAUUAUACUUUUUGUACCUAAUUUUUACGUAAUAGUCUUUGAGUUUCCCUUUAGGAGAAAAAUUAGCUAUUGUGUAUAUUAUUAGUUGAUUUCUGUAAUAAGUGACAUUAAAAUUAAUCGUUUGUAUGCAUUGAAUGCUUUACCAAGUUUCAGGAGUGUAAUUACAUUUCAAAUGAACCAUGUCAUUUAACCCUUACAACCUCCUAAGAUAUGUGUCAAUAUUAUCCCUGUUUACAGGAUCAAAAUACUGAGCCUGUACCUCCUACCUCCUUCCUUCCAGAGGUAAGUAUAGCCCCUAUUGAGAAUCUAAAUAUGUCAACAUUUACUUAGGUGGUUAUGGAAUUAAGUAUGGAAAUACAAGGAAAUUAAUAUUUUAUAUUUAAAUAUGAAGGAUAAUGUAUAGUUAGCUUUUUGAAGAACAUCAAAUAUUGGCUUUUCUAUCAUGUGAAUUGUAUGCAUACUGUCUUAUUUGUGAUAAUUUUAAGAUGAUGUCAAAGUUUCACUGUGACUUAGAGUGAGUAAAUUUUCAAACAAUAGAAUGUAUUAUUUGAAAGAGGCCUUGGUUUUACUCAGCUUCCUUCCCAUUUUGGGACUGCCUCCCUCUCCUAUAUUUUUUUCAG